AUUGAACGCUGGCGGCAUGCCUUACACAUGCAAGUUGAACGGCAGCAUGAUCUAGCUUGCUAGAUUGAUGGCGAGUGGCGAACGGGUGAGUAAUACAUCGGAACGUGCCCUGUAGUGGGGGAUAACUAGUCGAAAGAUUAGCUAAUACCGCAUACGACCUGAGGGUGAAAGUGGGGGACCGCAAGGCCUCAUGCUAUAGGAGCGGCCGAUGUCUGAUUAGCUAGUUGGUGAGGUAAAGGCUCACCAAGGCGACGAUCAGUAGCUGGUCUGAGAGGACGAUCAGCCACACUGGGACUGAGACACGGCCCAGACUCCUACGGGAGGCAGCAGUGGGGAAUUUUGGACAAUGGGGGCAACCCUGAUCCAGCAAUGCCGCGUGUGUGAAGAAGGCCUUCGGGUUGUAAAGCACUUUUGUCCGGAAAGAAAUCGCACUUACUAAUAUUAGGUGUGGAUGACGGUACCAGAAGAAUAAGGACCGGCUAACUACGUGCCAGCAGCCGCCGUAAUAC
rnacentral:rRNA from 1 species